rnacentral:rRNA from 1 species
GCAUAACGCGAAGAACCUUACCCACCUUUGACAUGUACGGAAUUUGCCAGAGAUGGCUUAGUGCUCGAAAGAGAACCGUAACACAGGUGCUGCAUGGCUGUCGUCAGCUCGUGUCGUGAGAUGUUGGGUUAAGUCCCGCAACGAGCGCAACCCUUGCCAUUAGUUGCUACGAAAGGGCACUCUAAUGGGACUGCCGGUGACAAACCGGAGGAAGGUGGGGAUGACGUCAAGUCCUCAUGGCCCUUAUAGGUGGGGCUACACACGUCAUACAAUGGCUGGUACAAAGGGUUGCCAACCCGCGAGGGGGAGCCAAUCCCAUAAAGCCAGUCGUAGUCCGGAUCGCAGUCUGCAACUCGACUGCGUGAAGUCGGAAUCGCUAGUAAUCGUGGAUCAGCAUGUCACGGUGAAUACGUUCCCGGGUCUUGUACACACCG